CUGUGCUCACCUUGCCUUUGAUGAUUAAGUGCUAGCACCUGGCCCUUGCCACCUCAGAAUACAGUUAUUUCCAUUACAUGUACCUUUUUCAGUUGAGUGACUGAGGUUCCCACUGUAAAGUCCAGCUUAAACAGAAGAGUAACUACGGAGCUCUUCAGGGAUGCUGGGGCUCCCCUAACAAAUCUGUUUCUCAAUGUGUUCAUGAGAGGUGUGUCUUCUGGAUUCUUCCAGUGUGGGCAAAGAACAUGGACUCACAGACACUGGAUGGCUUGCACAAUGUCUUGAAGCCCCAAAGACUAGGUUGAAAUGCACAUGCAUUUUCACAAUACCACGCUUCCUCAUCUCUGUAAAGCUUACAUUUUAAUCCUCAUACAAGCUUUUGACUGAAAGGGCCUAUAAGAAAGGACAUCCCAGUGGAAGUCAGCACAUGUUAUGCAUAGAUAUUGGCUUGUAACAACAUUCCCCAUUAAAAGAAACCAGAGCUCCUGGGAGAAGUGGCUGAUAUUACAAUAGCAGAAGAAAUAUACAAGUUGGGCCUGAGUACUUUGUAGUGCCAGAAGGUUAAGAAGGACUAAAAGACCCCACAAUUAUGAAGGUUCUAUGCAAGCCCAAGGAACAGAAUGCUUUUACGUGUCUGAGUAACAAGAGGAUUUUAUACUUGUGUGACUUCACACACAUUGUGGUGUUUGUCCUGCAUUGAAUCAAAGUGAA
rnacentral:lncRNA from 1 species